UUCUGCCCUGCAGAGCCCUGGCUUGGCUCACCCUAGGCCUGGCAGUCUCCUCCACAGCCUCACAGUGCUCAGGGACAGCCAGCUCUUGUCCUGCAGCACUCUCCUGCAGUGGCUUCUGGGUCACAGAGCCCACCAGCGUUUUGUUCCAGCUGAAAAUAUCUCCAGACAUCCCCAUUUGUCCAGCAUCACCCUUUGUGCACACACUCUGUCCAAAACCAUCCUUUAAAGCCUCCUUUUCCCCUACAUCACCAUGUUCCAGCUCUGUCUAACUGCCCCUGUGCUCCCAUUCCACUUGGGCACAACAUCCCUGUGCUCCCAUUGGCCCCUGCAGAGCCAUUUCAGCCCCAGCUGCUGUUCCUCCAGAGCCCACCUGGCUGUGAUCAAGCCACAGGGAAAUGGUGCUGGAGGCAAGAAUGACAGAAACAAAGACUUGAGCUUAGGAUAUGUGGUGCCAUGUUGAACUGAACACAGCUGAGCUUUUCCUGUCCAACGCUGGUACUCAACCUUCCAGUAAGAGGCCAGGAACAACUCUGGCAUUGUGAUGUUCAACAGCCCGUUGGCCACCAGCCAGGGUGUGCAGAGCUUACUGCCCAGACGUGGGCCCGUGGCUGUGCCUCCUCUGAGUCAGCAUCAGCCAGGAGCAGCCUGGCCAGGGCCCUCCUCAGGACAGAAUGCAAGCCCAGCACUCCCUUCCUGCCUGCCUUAACCAUCAGUUUUAUUUACCCCUCAGGACAGGAUCAUUUACACAGGAUUAUAACAACCAGGAUUAUUUACACCUCACUGCUAACUUCCCUCCACUUCUCCUAAAAUCAGGUUUCUCACUUUCUCCUGUGAAUGGAAGAUCUCCUUAGCCUCUUCAAUUGCAUUCUCUCAUUGCAUUCUCUCUCCAGGUUCCCUGGACAAAUCUCUUCUAGGAAGUGGUUGGCAUGUUUAUGGACUCAAAGCACCUCAUGGGCUUUGUCUUUUCUCAUAAACACUAGAAGAGCAAAAUUGAACAGCUGGUACAGGAAGACAAAGCAGCAGCAUUGUUACAGUCACAGUCAGGCAGUGUUUCUUCAACCCACAGGACUUUUUGUGCAGAACAGGAAUGUAGUUUCAGUUUAAAUGCUGAAAUUGCCAGAGUAACACAAAUUAAAAAGGUAACUCAGAAGUACUACCUGAAUAUGAAAACGGGCAGCUGCUGUGGAUAUAGCACAUCAGCAGGAGAAAUAUCUCAAGUAAGGAGCUGCUCUCCAUGUCAGUGAGAUUCAGAACACUCUGACUUCCUUCAGAGAGAAAAGAAGAAUCAAAUUAGUCUGUUGUAAUGAAACCAGCUGGCAACAAAAAUGAAGUAGAAGCAAGAGAACAAGAGCAGGGACAAAGAAAUCAGAAUCUCCCCAGUUCAUUUGACCUCGUGGCCCUUGUUUCUCCAAGCCACCCCAGCAGGAAUCCCCACAGGCAGAGGCUGAGCCAGCCCAGGCUCUGAGCCAGAGUCCCUUUGGAAAAGCCAUGGGGGCACAGGAGUGCAGGGGCAGACUCCAGGGGAGCAGCCACAGCCCAGUCCCCGCUGCGCUGGCUCUGCCAAGGGCAGAGGCACAACCAGCCGUGAGCUCAGCAGUGCCAGCAGCCACUGUGCAAUUCCUGAUGGUCCUGGCAAGUAACAUCAUCCACACCAACCCCAGCCGGGCACAACCACCAAGGACCUGGGAGUCACAGGUACAAGACAGAAGUCUGGAUUUCUUGGCAUUACCUUCCCACGUUGAAUGAUUUACCAGGAUUUGGCAGCACGUACCCCUCUGCUUCUUGCAGCUUGUUUGCAAAAAGGAUCCAGAGUGAGUUCACCUACACAGAACCAUGCAGUUAUACUCACUUUUUUUCUAUAUUUUUUAGAGGAAGACAGAAAAGAGAUUUGGAUGUACACCAGGAACAGCCAUGAGGUCAAGAGGUUGAUCAUUAACUCAUCACAAAUAUUGACAGAGGAGAGACAAACUGGAUUCUAUGAAACACAUUAGAAAACCAAAAGAAGAAGAAAACUGCAUGUAUGUUUCCAUACAUAUACACAGGUGCAUUAAAACAGAAUCAAAAGGUCUUUAAAAAUAUCCUUCAGUAAUAAAAGCAACCUUUUGCAACAAACUUAUUCAGGAAAA